rnacentral:rRNA from 1 species
ACGGGAGGCAGCAGCUAAGAAUAUUCCGCAAUGGACGAAAGUCUGACGGAGCGACGCCGCGUGGAUGAUGAAGGUCGGAAGAUUGUAAAAUCCUUUUAUGACUGAGGAAUAAGUAAGGUGAGAGAAACGCCUUAUGGUGACUGUAGGUCAUGAAUAAGCAACGGCUAAUUACGUGCCAGCAGCCGCGGUAACACGUAAGUUGCGAGCGUUGUUCGGAAUUAUUGGGCGUAAAGGGCAUGUAGGCGGUUUUGCAAGCUUGAUGUGAAAUCUCGGAGCUCAACUCCGAAAUUGCGUUGAGAACUGCAUGACUAGAGUCACUGAGGGGCAAUCAGAAUUCCAGGUGUAGGGGUGAAAUCUGUAGAUAUCUGGAAGAAUACCAAUGGCGAAGGCAGGUUACCAGCAGAUGACUGACGCUGAGGUGCGAAGGUGCGGGGAGCAAACAGGAUUAGAUACCCUGGUA